rnacentral:rRNA from 1 species
AGUGAACGCUGGCGGUAGGCCUAACGCAUGCAAGUCGAACGGCAGCACAGUAAGAGCUUGCUCUUACGGGUGGCGAGUGGCGGACGGGUGAGGAAUACAUCGGAAUCUACUUUUUCGUGGGGGAUAACGUAGGGAAACUUACGCUCAUACCGCAUACGACCUACGGGUGAAAGCAGGGGAUCUUCGGACCUUGCGCGAUUGAAUGAGCCGAUGUCGGAUUAGCUAGUUGGCGGGGUAAAGGCCCACCAAGGCGACGAUCCGUAGCUGGUCUGAGAGGAGGGUCAGCCACACUGGAACUGAGACACGGUCCAGACUCCUACGGGAGGCAGCAGUGGGGAAUAUUGGACAAUGGGCGCAAGCCUGAUCCAGCCAUACCGCGUGGGUGAAGAAGGCCUUCGGGUUGUAAAGCCCUUUUGUUGGGAAAGAAAAGCAGCAGGUUAAUACCCCGCUGUUCUGACGGUACCCAAAGAAGAAGCACCGGCUAACUUCGUG